UACAGAGGUCUCAAGCGUUGUUCGGAUUCAUUGGGCGUAAAGGGUGUGUAGGUGGCGCCGUAAGUCGGGUGUGAAAUUUCGGAGCUUAACUCCGAAACUGCAUUCGAUACUGCGGUGCUUGACGGACUGGAGAGGGGACUGGAAUUCAUGGUGGUAGCAGUGAAAUGCGUAGAGAUCAUGAGGAAGACCAGUGGCGAAGGCGGGUCUCUGGACAGUCCGUGACACUGAGACACGAAGGCCAGGGGAGGCAAACGGGG
rnacentral:rRNA from 1 species